AAAUCCAAAUGGGGAUAAUCCGGCUGCGGCCGCAUGCCUCCCACAGCGGCCCGUUCUCCCAGUAACGCGAGGGUGAUGGGUUUGGCCUCGAACAGCGGCUGCCGUGGGGUUCCCCAGGCUCAGACCUGCGCCGGACCGAGACUGAUAAAUCUUUCAUGCACUCGCACAGUUUCUCUCAGCAGAGCAGAAUAAGAGGAUUUACACGGCAAGUUGUGUCUGAAGAACAGCAACUUCACUUAGAAAGAAAGGACCGUAACUCUCAGAGCUCUGCAGCUUGACAAGUCCUGAUCCUUUGCUGAAACAUGAAGGUUUGUCCUAGGAGUUCCCAAAAACUCCUCUUGGGAGCUGAGGACUUGCAAAGUGGCAGUGAGUUUCCAACCCCCUUCUUGCCACCAGCCUCCCAUCCCUCACACGAGCCCGGGCUCUUUCCCUGCUGCAGGAAACUCGCACAAGCGGACACAGGAGGAAAGGGGGAUGAAGCUGCUUUGAGAAGCACAAGAGGAGCUGGUGUGUUGUGAGGGAAGGAUGUGGCUGCUAAGCUUCUGCCAAAAGUGGAGUUUAAAAAAAGCUGCCGCACAAUCCUGGGACGACGUUUACGCAGGAACGGCGCAGGACAGCAGCAACUGGUUCCCAUCAAGCGGGGACUGGUUGUAUCUGCAAGUAUGAUCAAGCCAUCCUAACUGCAAGGUCUGGAAGGACUGGCUAGUGUGGUUUCUGAAAUUCACAUGGCAGCAGAAGACAAAAUCCAUUCUCCAGUCUUUAUUCGUGGGGUUUGGGGCAACAUAAACAGUAAUAAAGAGCAGGGAUGACUAAAAUAGGAAGGCUGGUUUUGCUGGCAUGACAGGAGCAAAAAUAGACAUAUUUUAUAAAUAAAGAUGUCCUGGAAAUCAGAGACUCCCAAGUUUCACGCUCACCAGUUCAGCUGUUCUGGCUGGGGGUCUUCUCCACCAGCAGUGCUCAAGGGAUUUGUGAAGGCAUAAAUGAACUGUAAUAUAAGCACAUGCAUGAAAUGCCCUUCGUGCAAACCAGCCCCAUUAGUUGAUCUACUUGUGGAUGUCAUUUCAACCCACAAGUUCUAGUUAAAUUAGGGCUGGGGGUUUGCUCAGAGUAGGUUAAAUCCAAUUAUUUGAAGAGAGCUGCACGUGUAUUUUCAUUAAGCCCGAGACUUCUGUAGGUGUUGUGGAAGAAAAGAAAUCAAAGUACACCAGUGUGACUUGAGAAAAGAAAGCUUUUGAGCUGACCUUCUUCCAGGAGAAUAAAUUCAUGUCUUCAGAAGUGAGCAAGUCUCACUUCAGUGAUCUUAUCUCAGAAGUAAAAAGGCAAUAAGAAAAUGAGAAGAGACGUGGAGGAGGGCGGUAAGGACAGUGGAAGUGAUGGGAUAGAUACCAUAUGAGGAGGAAAGACUAGAAAAACAAGGAGACUCCAGUUUGGAAGAACAAAACCUUGGGGCAAGUAAAGACAGAGAAAUCUGAAGGUGUCAAGAGAGGUCUGGUAUGGACGUGGAAUUCUUUUUCCCUUUUCUUCACAACACAAGAACAUGGAGAGAAAUGUUCAGGAGCCAGGUCUGAAGCAGACGAAAGGAAGUACUUUUGCACACAACACAUAAUUAUAUUGUGGAACUUAUUGCCACAGGAUGUCAUGGAGGCCAAAAGUAUAAAUGAAUGAGAAAAAAAACAACAGGGAUUACACAAAUUCAUGCAACCUCCGGCUUAGGAAGUCCCUCAACUGCUGAUUACCAGGAGCUGGGAGGAAAUGCCAGAGGAAGGAUCACUUUAUACUCUCCCUCUUCCAAUAUCCCUUCCUAAGCAUCUGCAGCUGGCCAAAGCCAGGCCCUAGUUGUUGCCCGAAGUGGAGGUUUAUUCUGAGGCAGUCUGACAAUGUUUAUAUCCUCCUGGCAACUCCCUCACAGAUGGAGCCUUAGGGAGCAGAGGCAUCUCCUGGUGAGGUACAGGACCGACCCCUAAUUUUGUUACCUGCAGCGGUCACAGCCACGUCCGUAGUGGCCACUCUUUGCUGAUUUAGGCUGGUGUAAUUGAGGCCAGAUUGAGCCCUGGAACCUUCAGAGAGACUCUUCCGCUUUCCCUGCCCCUGGGAUUAAGCACUGAAAUCUCUGUGCUAAAACCCUCUUUGAACGGGGAUGGCAGAUAAUGCGCAAACUGAUUAAAAAAAACCCCCAGCACUGGGGAAAGUUAAAUAUUAAAGAGCCAAGGCCCAGUUUUAACUGCUGCUGCCGUCCCUCCUUCAUCUCGUGCCAACUGCCUCCAGGAUACAUGUGCUGACACUGAAUCUCUACCUCACAAAAGCGGCCGCAGCAUGGGCUUUAGAACUCAGCCCAUUAAUACUGGGAUGGGAAGCAGAAAAAUAGAACAAAGACAGCGAGGGACUCCUCUGCUUCCCACUCUGACCAUGCCCGAUCCGUCCCUGCAGCAUCACAGGGCAUGGUACCCCUACCCCAGUGAGGCAUUUUGCCCCUUUGACUUCUCAACAUUAGUUGCUCUAAAAUAUUUUGCUGCCUGCUUUGCCCUGCUGUAACUAAAACUAUAAUUUUCACUAGCAGAGAAGAGGGAUUUGGGAGAAACAUCUGGUCUCAUUUCAUCAGGAUAACAGCUCUGUCUCUAUUUAUACACGCGCCAGGAUCGUUGUGGCUCUCAGCUGUUCUUCUCCCGACAGUCCCUUUCAAGCUGCCGUGUCCUGCUCUGUUGGGGCAGUCCCCGGGUUGAGGCCAACCUGCUGCCACAUGAAACAGGAACCAGGCCCAAAAAUGUGGGCUUGUGAGAGCUUGUCCCCUCCACACCUGGGGCUUGCUGUCUGCCAGGCUGGUGAUGAUGUGCCGUGAUGGAUGGUUGCUCCUGUCCUUGUAUCCUGCUGGGGAAAACUGGGAAAACCCAUCUGACUAGACAGUUUGCUGGAAACUGGAUGAUCUUUAAAGUCCCUUCUGACCCAAACCAUCCUGUGACUGGAAAAUCAUUUUCUUGGUAAAUCCAGAGACUUUGCUGGUCAGGGAUCAGCCCUGCAAUGAGUCAACCUUAUUGGUCUGAGUAUACCAACCUCAAUGGACUGAAUUUUUCUCCGAAAUCACAAUGUGGAUUUUGGGGGAAAGCUCAGACCAUUGAGGAAAGACCAGCUGAUUCUGACUUUUCUCUAAGGUGUUAGGAAAUAAACUGUGACCCUACAGAGACACGGGAAGGUCAGGGAGUCUGCUUGGGAAGGCAGCACGUCCUACUUAAUUCACCACAGUGGGAAAAAUCCGCUCUGCUGCCUCCCCUCCAGUGCUCACAAGACAUCACAUCUCAUCCAGCAUGUUUAAAAAAACCCCUCAAGUCAAAUGGCCAAGUACCUGGAAAAUUACCACGUAGCACAUUCAGCAGUGCAGCCGCCAUCUGAAAGGAGCGCUCAUAGCCUGGAUGAUGAUGGGGUGUGGGUCAGCAUUAAUCAUCUCAAGCAAGUCUAUCCCACUGCCCUGCUUUUCCCUUAACCAGGCUGUGCCUCUGCUCCCAUCCCGACCCUCUGAGAGCCCCUGACACACAGCUAUUUCAGCAUCACUUCCCCUCCUCUUUUCAGCAGCUCUGGACUUUGCAUUAAUUGUUUUCUUGCACUCAGCUGCUAAAGGAGGAACCGCUCAGAGACACGGGGGUUUUGUAACCCAGAAUGAGACCAGCGUUUUCUGAUGCUCCUAUUGAUUGUACUAAGGUUGCAAACUCCCUGGAGCAGGAUUGAAUUUCACCCUGCAUUUAUACCUUCUGAUGUGAUCCUGCCCCUUCCAUGUACUCCUUCAGAACACUAUUCUCAGCUGUGACCUGAGGUUCAGUAGAUCAAUAUUUGUUUACUCAGCUUGGGUCUAAUUUUCAUAUGCUCUGGGUAAUCCAAGUCCACCCAAAAGCAGCAGAAAGGGCCACUCCUGCCAAUUGCAUGAAUCAGACUGAAAUGUGGACCCUGCCUAAAACACCAGCCUUUGGAGCAACUCGAGGCAGGAAAUAUGACUCAAUCUUGGGAGAACAUCAUCCAAAUAUAGACCCUGCUGAUGCUGUGGACAGUUUGGGCCAAGGGGUCACCAACUGAACCCUUGUGAGCUCUUCACUUCCAUGACUUUUCUGACUGAGAAACGUUUUUCUUCCUCAUUUGAGUCACUCCUUUUGGGGCACAUCAAGUAUUUUUUGUAAAAUGUGUCAGAAGUGCACCAAACCAGCCAAGUUCUAUGUAAUUGCUGAGAAACAUUCUCUCAACCUAAGCAAAACUAUUCAGAGGAGACUAAGGGAGCAGCCUGACAUAAUAGCACCUUAUCCUUCCAGCUUGAUGUUCUUAGGGUGAUAUGUGCCUUCAUCCCAACCCCUUUAUAAAAAGCAAAUCUGAAGGCAUAUGCAGCACUAAAUGCAAUUUUUUCCCUCCUCAUAGUAUUUGGGGAGGAGGGAAAUGAAGAAAGGCUGGUGCUGGAAUAGAAAGGUCUGAUUUUGGAUCUUUUCUUUGGAAACAAGGAAUGGCUGGAUGUGGCCAUGCCAGGGUACCUGAAGUUUCAUUAAAAGCUCUCACAAGUCAGCACAGGACCCUUGUUAAAGAAGGUGGAGGUUCCUCUCUGUCUGCUGGAGCUGCUCAAAUCAUCUUCCAUGACAACAUCCCCUCACCUUGCAGGUCAGGAAUAUCCAGACAUAAAAAAAUCCUUCGGCCUGUCAAAAGCAGUCAGCUGGCUUUAAAGCCCAAAUGACUUUUUUUAUUUUAUUUUUUUUUUUAACAUUUCUCCUUUUAAUAGUAGCUGCCUGUCUGCUGCUGUCCUGAAUUUAAAACAAAAUAACCAGCCUCCAGCAACCUUCAGAACAGAUCUGUAAAACUCUCCAACUGACUCUAACAAGCAAAGGCAAGACUGUGACAAACCUGCCAGCUUUCUCUUCAUGGGCUGGAUCAUCUUCAGGGAGCCCAGGACUGGUGUUUAAAAAUGUAGCCUUUGAACAGAUCCUUUAUUUUGUGAUUAAACUGGUCCCCAGGACACCGGGGAGGUGACAGCAACAGAUGCUGUGAUGAGUCAGUGCAGAAAAGGUCGUGGGAUGGACGUGGGGUCAGUGAAAGGCUGCAGUUACUGGACUGUAACUCAGCCAAAGAGGUUUGGGUUUUGUCUUUGAGGAAGAAAUGAGGCCAGUAUGGAAGGAAUGAUUUAUUUGUCUCUAUUUUUCUUGUCAGGGUCCCAGUUAGAUGACUUGGCUUGAAGUUUGAGCAAAGAGUAGUCACUAGAUUUAUCUGCAUCUCUAGAAUCAUGGGCUUCUUUCUCUGGGCUGUCUUGUAUUACAAAUGUAACCAACUUCCCCCCCUGUAUUUUUGUUCUCCCUUGCCUGAACAGAUGGGUUCCCUUCCUUCACUAUUGUGAGCAGAGGCAGAUGCAAAUAAAUAGGCACUUGUGCUCUGUUGUGUGGUUACCUAGAGAGGCUGUUGUUUGCAAACAAAGGCUGUACCAGGACACAGACAACCUCGUUUGGUGUAGCCUGGAGAUGGCUCUUCAUUACAAGUACAGCCCCGGGUUCUCCACGCUGCACUUCCACAUUUACCACAGGAUCCUUCAGCAAGCAGGAGUGAUGGAGCACUGUGAGAUGCUGACUCCUCAGAAGAAAGGAGGAGCAAACGCCUCCUCUCCCCUCCCAGUCCAGCAAGCUGUUGUUCCUUGAGAUGUUUGAAUAAAGGAAAAACACGGCUCUGGAGCUUGUAACUGCUCACACCCACACAAAUACAACAUCCAGCCUUCUCCCCUGUCCCGUGAGCAGACCCUGACAGUUGAUACAAAUUCCCUUGCACCACAAACAUGAGCUUCCCCUGGUUUUACAGGGGAUGGAUAGUUUUGGGAAUUUCCACCUGGACCACACAGAAGUACUUGACUGGAGCUGCCAGCUCUCAAAGCCAAGUCCAGCCUUGCAUCUGACUAAGAGGGCACCUGCAAAGAUGCUGGAUUGGAGAUGCAUCCCUGCCACUCACCUGUGAACCUCCUGGGAGCAGAGCUUAUCCCAAAGGCCAUGGCUGGUCCCACUCCAGGGACAGGCAUCACGGUGGCAUGGAUGAGAUACUUCAGUCCUUGUUAAAAACACAGAGAUCAUGAAAGCUUUCUGCUGAUGCUUGUGGUUGUUCAGGCCAUGUUUAAAACAAGAUGUUGGAAUCCAGAACUGGGCUGCAUAAAUGAAAACUGAGCCUCAGCGCAGGAAUGGUGGAACAUGGCUGUGUGGUCACAGCAGCCCUUCAGCCCUAGGAGUGUAAUCAAGAUGUAGGAUUGCAAGGAGAUUUGGGACUGGUACAGAGGCAGGCUGAAAAGCACAGAAGAACACUUGAGAAGAAGCACCUGAACAGCUACACCUCUGUUGAACACAAGGAUUUAAGCACAGGACACAAUCAGAGAGUGAUGUAGCUUUGUGUUUUUGAGCAGUGUUCUCUCCUGAGGAGAAGGUCUGGCCUCCCUUGGUUACCAUGUGAGCCUCAGGUCUCACUCCUCAGGCCUUUGUUUUUCCUGCCAGGGUCUCUGCAAGGAUUUUGAUGGUCACUCCCACUAGGUGAGAGAGUACUAACCUACCUGGGUAUUUAUUUGAAGAGAUGAGCAGCAAUCCCUCCAGGAGGUAGCUGCUGCUCACACUGUGCCUAUAUAGAGUUUGGGGCAUCAGGUAAUUCUACCCAAGUCAAUUAAAAGUGUCCCAGGAAAAAAAUACAGCCAUGCUUUUCCAGGAAUAAAGCAGGCAAUUUGGAGCACAGGUGACAGCAGUGCUAUCCAUACAGGAGAGGAGAGAGUUCUGAAGGUGUUGGGCAGACUGGAGCAGCACUCAGCUUCUGCAGCACAGGGAGAAGACCAGCAGCAUAGGAUGCUACUCUUUUUACAGCCCCUAUUCUUCCCUUAAUUACAAGCUUAAGUGACGGCUAAUAAAGA